UAACAGGGGGUGCAAACGUUGCUCGGAAUCAUUGGGCGUAAAGCGCACGUAGGCGGUUCGUUAUGUCGGAUGUGAAAGCCCUUGGCUUAACCGAGGAAGUGCAUCCGAAACUGGCGAGCUAGAGUAACGAAAGAGGAUCGCGGAAUUCCGGUGUAGAGGUGAAAUUCGUAGAUAUCGGGAGGAACACCGGUGGCGAAGGCGGCGAUCUGGGUCGAUACUGACGCUGAGGUGCGAAAGCGUGGGGAGCAAACAGGG
rnacentral:rRNA from 1 species